UUCCGGUUGAUCCUGCCAGAGGGCACCGCUAUUGGCUUUCGCUUAAGCCAUGCGAGUCCAGAGUGGUCAUGCACUCGGCGCACGGCUCAGUAACACGCGGUCAACGUGCCCUAAGGUGGAGGAUAAGCUCGGGAAACUGAGGAUAAUACUCCAUAGCUCACCUAUGCUGGAAGGCUUGGUGGGCGAAAGCUCCGGCGCCUUAGGAUCGGACUGCGGCCUAUCAGGUUGUAGUGGGGGUAACGGCCUCACUAGCCUACAACGGGUACGGGCGUUGGGAGACGUCGCCCGGAGAUGGAUUCUGAGACACGAAUCCAGGCCCUACGGGGCGCAGCAGGCGCGAAAACUUC
rnacentral:rRNA from 1 species